UUCCUUCCUGUCGAUGAGGUUUAGCCUCCUCAUCGACUGGAAGGAAUCCCUUCCAAUUGAUGAGGAAGCUAUACCUCAUCGACAGGAAGGAA
rnacentral:miRNA from 1 species